GCUUAUUCUCAGGGCGGGGCGAAAUUCCCCACCGGCGGUAAAUCAGCGAAACUGUCCACCGUAUUUCACGUUGCUGCAAAGCGGCGAGAAACACGCAAGACGCGCUGAAAGCCCGCGAGCGCUUCAGAGGUUUAACGACGCUGAAGGUCAGCAGAUCCGGUGUAAUUCCGGGGCCGACGGUUAAAGUCCGGAUGGGAGAGAGUAACG
rfam:Escherichia hermannii NBRC 105704 DNA, contig: EH10570419.